rnacentral:rRNA from 1 species
CCUACGGGCGGCAGCAGUGGGGGAUAUUGCACAAUGGGGGCAACCCUGAUGCAGCGACGCCGCGUGGACGAAGAAGUAUUUCGGGAUGUAAAGCCCUAUCAGCAGGGAAGAAGAAAUGACGGUACCUGAGUAAGAUGCACCAGCUAACUACGUGCCAGCAGCCGCGGUAAUACGUCGGGUGCAAGCGUUAUCCGGAUUUACUGGGUGUAAAGGGAGCGCAGGCGGCACGGCAAGCCUGAUGUGAAAGCCCGCGGCCCAACCGCGGGACUGCAUUGGGAACUAGCGGGCUGGAGUGCCGGAGAGGGAGGCAGAAUUCCUAGUGUAGCGGUGAAAUGCGUAGAUAUCAGGAGGAACACCAGUGGCGAAGGCGGCCCACUGGACGGUGACUGACGCUGAGGCUCGAAAGCGUGGGGAGCAAACAGGAUUAGAUACCCGAGUAGUC